UUCACUCUGCGCAGAGUUGAAAUCCCCAAGAACGCUCGGACGGACUGUGAUCUGAGAGAGAAGAGCCAAAUCCGCAUCCAUGUCUUCCCAUAUUCUUUACCUCCAUCUGUUCGUUAAUUCUCGUCGUCUCUCUUCAUCAGGUUUCAUCUUCCAAGAAUGACACAUGGAACGCCUUGAAGCUUGCUCGAGAGUCACUUUCAUUUGAGAACAUAAAUAUGAGAUUCCACAUCGGUUGGAGAGGAGAAUGAAGCAUUCUUUAUAAGGGUGUGGAAACCUUUCCCUAACGGACGUGUUUUAAAAACCUUGAGAGGAACCUCGAAAGGAAAAGCUGAAAAAAGACAAUAUCUAUUAGUAGUGAACUUGAGCGGUUACAAUAAAAGUAUUACCAGCUAGUACUACAAAUCCAGGGAUACCACCAUCUUCGUUGAUGGCAUUUUUAACAAAGAACUCGCUGGUAUCUGGGUGGUAUUAGAAGACUUCGAUACAGAACUCGCAGAUAUCUUGAUGAUUUUCAUAAUUUAAACUCGUCGUCUAUUGAAGCAGCUGCUUUGCUUUACUCAUCGUUUAUCCUUGAUGAACCUUCCUCUACUCCUUAUUCUGGUUAUGUUCAUGACGAUUCAAGAUUUGUUUGGAAUUUUUUGGAUGACAGAACAUCUAUUCCUAAAGAGAAUACUAGCUCAGUCUGUUCACAUAAUUGUGAUGACAAAAGUGAGGUGUGCAUUACAGUGGAGACUGGAAAGGGAACUUGUAUUAUAUCUACUACCAGCCUACCAGGUACGUUCCAGCAUACUCAACAAGAUUGAAGUUUGAAUCUGGAUCUUGGAAUGUGUUUCCUCCAAAUUCAUCAGACCCGCUGGGGGCUGUCGAUUCUGUUUGGACAGAGCAAUUGGAAUACCACAAGGCUCCGAAUGUAUACCGUCCAAGCUACUGCUUAUGAUCCUUUUGUUUUACUUGUUGGCAUUACUCCCACAAUCUUAGCUUAUUUUGCAAUAGUAGUCGUUCAAAGUGUCACAAUCGCACUUUUCUUGGCAGCGUACUUUGCAAUUGUGGGGUAUUCACUUCCCAACAACAAGUGAGUCAAGUCAAUACACGGGUCGCCUACGGCCGAAUAACCUAUGCUCAAGCCUCUGGCCUUAAUUUAAAAAGAAGGAUUUAGAAAACGGAGUAGAGAGAUUUUGAAAGCAAAGAUUGAGAGAGACUGAAAAGCAAUGUUAUAUGACAUACAAGCAAAAGGCAACACAUUGACUCACACUGACAUAAGUAGCAUUUAACUUUUUACAGUCAUACUCGUCUAGGGUUGUCGGUGGCCACAUGCCACAAUAGUUUUAAACACAAACUUAAAAAGUAGAAACAUUCUCUGUUACCCUUGAAAAACAUUCUGCCUUC